CAGGUAACCCGAGCUAGAGGGCGGGGGGAGGGGCGGGCAAGACGGGAGGAGAAAGCACCGCAGGUGAGCCAGGUAGGGCGGCUCACCUGCCCGGGCCGCGCUGCGGGGUCCUAGCCGGUUUCCUCAGCGAUUGAUAUGGGGGCGUCUCUGGGGUAACUUAGGACCCUGAGGUGAAAGGAGGGGGCUAGGAGAGGGGAAUUAAAGUUUCUUUUCCUUUCUCCCUCCUGCUUGGGAUUGGCAGGUAGGGCGCUGGCGGAAGCGGUAGGAGUCGCUGAUGCAAUGGGCUUUUGCCCGGGCGAGGUGAAGGGCUGGGGGCGGGGGAGAGCUGGAGUUGCCCGGCCUCCUGCGACCGUGACCCUGGAGGCGGAAGAGUGAGGAAAAGCUCGCCACAUCUGAGACUCCCCGUAAAAUGGCUCCAAGUGCCCGACACCCAACCUUUCUUCCUCCUCUUAAGAACAAAUCGCACGUUUCACGGAAGGGCUCCUACAUGGCUUCCUUGCCUUCCUCUCCCAACAGGUGGUCUGAGCCCCUGUCCGGGGACCUGUGCCAAUGACCCUAGUGGUGGUUUCGCUUUCUCCUCUCACGGCGGUGUGAACGUGUGUCCGCAGCGUGAUGGGCAACCAGGUGGAGAAACUGACCCACCUAAGUUAUAAGGAAGUUCCCACUGCCGACCCGACGGGCGUGGACCGGGACGACGGGCCCCGCAUCGGGGUCUCCUACAUCUUCUCCAAUGACGACGAGGACGUGGAGCCGCAGCCGCCGCCCCAGGGGCCGGAUGGCGGUGGCGGCGGUUUGCCUGACGGCGGGGACGGGCUGCCGCUGCCCUCGCCGCAGCCCUAUGACCCGCGGCUGCACGAGGUGGAGUGCUCCGUGUUCUACCGCGACGAGUGCAUCUACCAGAAAAGCUUCGCGCCGGGCUCCGCGGCGCUGAGCACCUACACGCCCGAGAACCUGCUCAACAAGUGCAGGCCUGGCGACCUGGUGGAGUUCGUGUCGCAGGCGCAGUACCCGCACUGGGCUGUCUACGUGGGCAACUUCCAGGUGGUGCACUUGCACCGGCUGGAGGUGAGCAACAGCUUCCUGACGGACGCGAGCCAGGGCCGGCGCGGCCGCGUGGUAAACGAGCUGUACCGCUACAAGCCGCUGAGCCCCAGCGCCGUGGUGCGCAACGCGCUGGCGCACGUGGGCGCCAAGGAGCGCGAGCUGAGCUGGCGCAACUCGGAGAGCUUCGCCGCCUGGUGCCGCUACGGCAAGCGCGAAUUCAAGAUCGGCGGCGAGCUGCGCAUCGGUAAGCAGCCCUACCGGCUGCAGAUCCAGCUCUCUGCGCAGCGUAGCCACACGCUCGAGUUCCAGAGCUUGGAGGACCUGAUCAUGGAGAAGCGGCGCAACGACCAGAUCGGGCGCGCCGCGGUGCUGCAGGAGCUCGCCACGCACCUGCACCCCGCUGAGCCGGACGUAAGCGACAGCGACGCCGCGCGGACUACGCCGCCUCCCGGGCGCCCCCCCGCGCCCGCCCGGGAGGAGGGGGCCCGAGAGGCGGUGGUUCGCUGACCGGCGAGCUGAGAGCGGAGCUGUGUGAGGGAGCUGUUUGUAGCAGCCGCUGCUCCCUCCCUCCUCUCACUCCCUCCUCCACCACCUUCUGGGCCCCAUCUGGGCUCCUGGGCCAUUUGGAAAACGGAGAGUUGGCGAAAAGCGCAGCCAGCUGUGGCUUGAGUUUGUUAUCUUGGACGGAGGAGGAAGAGGGAGCAGAGACUCAAGCCAGAAGAGCUUCAGAAUUGGACCCUGACCUUCUGUCAGGGAAAGCAGCAUCUAAGGCAGAGUGACGAAGCCAGGAUCAGUCAGGGUCCUGGGAGAAGACAUCGCCUUCAGGGGCAGCUUGGAAGCUUGGAACCAGUCUUGGCAUCUCUGCAUCCCAGCAAGCAACCAGCCUGGGAGGGAGAUGCCAGUCUGCCCUCUUGCAACAAAUCCUCCCUCCAAGACUGAUUACCCUACACUUCUUUGUUUUGCCAUGGCUGGAGGGAAGCAAACCCACCCCCAAUACUACAAGGCUCUUCGGAAGAAUCCUCUUCUCUCUAAGGAGGCUUCUAGCUUGCCUGUAAGCAAGCUAUUGGGAGUGUUAGAUUUGGUCUCCAACUAGCAGUUCUCAUGUGGGAGUGUCUAGCUCUUCUCUUUAGAAUGCAUGGCUACUUAGCUUUUUCCCAUCUUUGGGGGUCUCAGCCAAAGCUCGAAGUUCUGUUGAACAUUUGUUAUAAUCCUUUUGCCUACAAGGAACUGGAUCACAAAGAGAUUUGUUUCAAAAUGCUGGAGAUUAUUCAACUUGUAAGAGCAAAAGUUGGAUUUAAACCCUGACCUGUCCUUUUCCCAAGCUAAUAGUCUUUCCCAUCCUCCAAGUGUCCUCUUUAAAGUUGCCUAGGACCAGGAAGAAGGAACUACACUUAAUCCCAUUUUACAGAUUAGUUAAUAAAAGCUUAAAAAAUUUUAAAAAGACUUGCUCAUGAUUACCCAUGGACUGGUCAAAGUCCCAACAGGAAACAGAUGGCUAAGCAGAGGAGGCCACUUUAAAAAAAAUUUAGUAAAAGGGUAUUUGAAAAGGCGUGGGUAGUAUUAGGAAGCCACAAGGGUUGGUGCAGUACUUCAGCACUAGUUAGCAGCAGGGCUGUCACCCGUAGGACUAAAGGGAGGAGAGGAGAGGAUUGUGUUCCGAGGGGCACCUAGAGAGGAGCAGGGAGUUCAGGUGGUAGGAGACAGCCAGUCCUAAGUCAUGGCUCAGAGGGGAAGCUGGCCUGCCUGCAUUUCCUCUCAAUCUCCAACCUCCUCUGGAGCCAAACCCAGUAGGAAGCCAGAAGCCACUGGAUCUUGUUGAAGCUGCACCUGCAGGUUGGUCUCCCAGAGCAGAGAGCCAGUGAAGGUGGAGAGUGGAUCUGGCCCACACAGCUAGUCAUGGCAGAGCUGGGGUUUGAAACCACAUCUGCCUGCACGAAACCCAGUGCUGCUCUUGUUGCCUCUGCCCUUAUUUCCUUAUGUGACUGUGACGCUUUAUAUUGUAAAUGUUCUCUGGGUGGGGACUUCUUCUUACCAUCUUUAUAAAUGUUGCCAUUCCAAGCACACAAAGACAUUCAGCAAGUUUGUUGACUGAACGAAUUAAUAAACGUUCUCUGGGUGGGGACUUCUUCUUACCAUCUUUAUAAAUGUUGCCAUUCCAAGCACACAAAGACAUUCAGUAAGUUUGUUGACUGAACGAGUUAAGGGAUGGAGGGACAGGCUACAGAUAAGCUUGAAACACAUGGGGACAUUAUAAGCAAAGCGAGGGGAAUGGUAUGUAUUGCAAUAACUACCCGCAUACGAGAUGAUGUCUACAUACUUUUGUAUACAUAUACUUCUAUGUUAAAUAUUUUAUAUCUAUUUUCUCAUUUAAACCUCACAUACAUCAACUCUUGAAUUAUUACUCCUUGAUGAUUCGCCCAAGUUUAUUUGUGUAAUGACAGUAGCUGAAGCAGGAUGUGACCUCAGGUCAUCUAGCCCUAAAGCCAGUACUCCUUCAAGUACCACUCAAUUGAGUAUAAUAUUGUAUAAUAAUAGGAUAAUCAUAGUUCACUCUCAAUAUCUUUCUCUCUCUCUCUCUUCGUCCCUCCAUUGACUCAUUGCAGAGAUCAAGUCAUCUUUCCAAAAAGAGAUGUCUCACAUUCUGGAUGUGUCUGUUUGCUUCCUUGUAGUUUCAUUUAAGUUGUUUCUCUAUUCCAUGCCCCAUUUUUUAUACAUAAAGCUAUUGAGGACUGAUUUGAUUAAGAUUCAGCUUUUGGUUUUGUUUUUUUUUUUUGGCAAGAACACUUCAUGAGCAGUGCUGUGUGUUUCAAAUUGCAGUACCUCAGGAUAGACACCAAGCCUGACUAUCCCACCUUUCAUGAGGCAAAUAUUAAUUGGUGGAUUUAAGUGACUUAGGAAAAUUUUAGUUAAGGAAAACUUUAAUUAUUAUAAUUAAUAAUUGCUAUUCUAAAGUUAAGCAUCAACCAUGUGGCAGGCACUGUGCUUGGCAUCACACAUAUGUUAUCUUGUUGAAUCCACGCAAAGGCUGCAUGGAAAAGGUAAUCUCAUCCUCAUUUAUUAAAUGAGAAAACUGAGGCUCAGAGAAGUUAAGUAGGUUCCCUGAAGUUGUACGACUAGGAAGUGACAGAGGCAGGAUAUGAAUUUGGAGCUGAUGGACUCCAGAGUCUAUGUUCUGAACAACUACGUGACAUUAUGUAUGGCUUCAUUUCUUUUCAGCACAUUCUCACAGACUGCUCCUAGAACUUUUGAUUCUUGCUCCUUUAAUAGACUGUCUGAGUCAGAGUAAUUUAUACAUUUAACUUUAGAGUGAGUGUUGGGAAAAGAGCCAAGGAGGGAGGCAACUUUGAUGCCAACAUGCCAUAAAAGGAGGGAGGAAAGUAUAAGAAGGGAAAGAAGAAGUAGAGCAAGGCACUUAGAAGAGGUGGAAGUAGGCAGCAAAAUCCAGAAAGGCAAUCUAUUAAGAUCUUUUAAAUUGUACAUUAUAAAAUCACAACCCAAAGUAGCUUAAGGAAAAAGGGUCAUUGAUUUGCUCAAGUCACCAAACUAUAGAAAGGCCUGAGAUGGACUGACCUCAGGGGUCACUCAACCCACCAACUAGAUAGAAUUCUGUAGAAUGCUCUCUCCAACUCUCAGCCUUGCUUCUCCAUGCAUGCUGGUUUCUUGCUGUCAGGCUGGCUGUCUCCACAUGCUUGAAGCAUGGCUACAAGCAGCUCAUUCUUAAAACUACGAGACCCAAGAGGAAAGAGACAUUUCUCUUUUUUUAAAAAAUAUUUAUUUAUUUAUUUUGGCUGUGCUGGGUCUGAGUUGCGGCACGCAGGCUCUUAGUUGUGGCAUGCCUGCAGGAUCUAGUUCCCCGACCAGGGAUCGUACCUGAGCCCCCUGCAUUGGAGUCUUAUCCACUUCCAUGUCCACCAGGGAAGUCCUGAGACCUUUCUUUUCUUAACUCCAGUAGGGAAAACCCCAGGGAAGGACUCUGAUUGGCUGAACUUGGACCAAUCAGUACAGUCAGGGAAGAGGGGCCCUAUUAUUGGUCCACUUGGGUCACAUGUCCCUCCUACAACCAGGAAGGCAGGGUCUAUUACUAUAAGAAAGAAAUGAAUCACACAGGUGAGGCUACUUGGGGGGAUUGCGAUCUGGGUAGUCACCUCCAUCUCCAUUUUCCAUAUAUUCUUACUAUGAACAAAUGACAACAGGUGAUAUUCAGAGGCAGGCUCUGGGGUGACUGAAAAAAAAGAAAUGUAGGGGGAAGGAAACUGAUGUUUAUUAAACACUCACAUGUGCUAUAUAAUAUUCCAAGUGCUAUAUACAUAGCUCAUUUUGUUUUCACAACAGUACCACAAACUCAGUAUUUUAUUCUCAUUUUUAAAAACAAUAAACUGAAGCUCACAGAAAUUAAAUGAUUUGCCUAAGAUCAAAGUUGGUAAAUAUGAAGCUAAGAUUUGAAUCUAGAUUUUUAUAGUUCUAAUAUCUAUGCUCUUUCCUUUGGAUCCAACAUCUUUUAGUGCUGGAGGCACUGAGGAAUAUUACCCAAGUACCGAAAUUCUGUGCAUGAAGCAGAGCCCUAUUUAUGUACGGGUUACGUGGUCAGAGCAGAAUCAAAAUCCCAGCAUGUAUUGCAGAAUAAAGACUGUUUUUCAUCAGACAAAUCCAAAUUGAGGGACAUUCUACAAAAUAUCUGACCCAUAUUCCUCAAAGCUCUCAAGGUCAUCAAAAACAAGGAAAGACUGAGAUACUGUUACAAACCAGAGGAAACUAAAGACACAUGACAACUAAAUACAAUGUGUUACCCUAGAUUUCGUCUUGGAACAGAAAAAGGGCAUUAAUGGAGAAACUGGUGAAAUACAAAGAAAGUCUGGAGUUUAGUUAAAAACAGUGUACUGGGACUUCCCUGGUGGUGCACUGGUUAGGAAUCCGCCUGCCAAUGCAGGAGACAUGGGUUGGAGCCCUGGUCCAGGAAGAUCCCACAUGCCACGGAGCAACUAAGCCCGUGAGCCACAACUACUGAAGCCCGUGCGCCUAGAGCCUGUGAUCCGCAACAAGAGAAGACACCGCAGUGAGAAACCCGUGCACUGCAACGAAGAGCAGCCCCUGCUCGCCGCAACUAGAGAAAGCCCAUGUGCAGCAAUGAAGACCCAACGCAGGCAAAAAUAAGUAAGUAAAUAAAUAAAAACAAACAAACAAAAAACAGUGUACCAAUGUUUGUUCCUUAGUUUUGAUAAAUGUACCAUGGUAACAUAAGAUGGUAAUGAUAGUGGACCCUGGAUGAAGGGUAUAUAGGUAUUCUCCAUACCAUCUUUACAACUGUUCUAUCAAUUUAGAAUUAUUCCAAAAUUAAAAGUUUAUUGAAACAAAAUUGUGUUUUGU